rnacentral:rRNA from 1 species
UGGGGAAUUUUGGACAAUGGGGGCAACCCUGAUCCAGCCAUUCCGCGUGAGUGAAGAAGGCCUUCGGGUUGUAAAGCUCUUUCAGCUGGAACGAAACGGUACGCUCUAACAUAGUGUGCUAAUGACGGUACCAGCAGAAGAAGCACCGGCUAACUACGUGCCAGCAGCCGCGGUAAUACGUAGGGUGCGAGCGUUAAUCGGAAUUACUGGGCGUAAAGCGUGCGCAGGCGGAUUGUUAAGCAAGACGUGAAAUCCCCGGGCUUAACCUGGGAAUGGCGUUUUGAACUGGCAGUCUAGAGUGUGUCAGAGGGGGGUAGAAUUCCACGUGUAGCAGUGAAAUGCGUAGAGAUGUGGAGGAAUACCAAUGGCGAAGGCAGCCCCCUGGGAUAACACUGACGCUCAUGUACGAAAGCGUGGGUAGCAAACAGGAUUAGAUACCCUGGUAGUCCACGCCCUAAACGAUGUC